UGGAGGCUCAGGAGCUCAAGUCCAGUGAUAUUUUCUUCUAGAGAAGUUCCAGCAAAGUCUCACUGGUUCUGACUGAGUCAUCUGCACCAAUUAUGCUGGGUCACGACUCAGGGGAGAACCAAGUGGGAAGAGUGUGAGGGGCAGAGGAAGACUCCAGCAUGGUGAUUCACACAUAGUGGACAUUAAAAUACUUGUUAAAUUAAUGAGUGAAGAGAAGAGCAACAGAAGAUGCAAUGGAAGAUAUUAAAAGGAAAAAAUGAAAGGAAAAUAAUUGCUAGAAAUCAAGAGUGGUAAAUAAAACAGAUUCGUAGAUAAGAUUAACCAAGGAACUACAGUUCAGUGGGCAACAAGAUGCCAGCACAGAAGAGAGGGUGGACUAAAGGCAGUGCAAGACUUGAAAGAGACAGCUGUUUACUCAGACAUUUGGUCUCCUGUUUCUUCCUGCCACCAGCUUACUCACAGAUCAGUGGGAACAUGCCUUGCUUCACUGGAAUUCAAGGUAUAGAACACUCAGAAGCAGCAUCAUCUUACCACAUUAUAAAGCAGUGCCAUUGUUUUCAAGAAAAAUAGGGCAAAUGUUUGUCCUGGAAAGCUUUAAGGUUAAAGAACUUGUGAGAAUGACCUACUGGCUGUUUCUUUCCAUAUUCAUUACCCAUUCCAGCUUCCGUUAUUUCUAUUUAUUUUACCCUUUCCCAGUUGAACACUUGUUGAGCUUGGGGGUAGGGUGGGGAAUGCAUUUCCUGAGUUCCUUCUUUCCUUUGCAUUCAUCCUACUUACUGAAACACACACACCUUGGAUGUCCAGUGUGUUCACACUUGAGAGGUCUUCCCUGGUCCCAGCCUCCGGCAUGGGAGGUCCUGUGUGUGCCUCCAGCACUGGGUCAGUUUGCUUGUCUUGUGAGCGUGCUUCCCUCAUGCCAGUCUGCAUGAAGGUGACACUUUUGUCUAACCCUCUUGUUUCA